UACGUAGGGCGCAAGCGUUAUCCGGAAUUAUUGGGCGUAAAGAGCUCGUAGGCGGUCUGUCGCGUCUGCUGUGAAAACUCGGGGCUUAACCCCGGGCCUGCAGUGGGUACGGGCAGACUAGAGUGCGGUAGGGGAGACUGGAAUUCCUGGUGUAGCGGUGAAAUGCGCAGAUAUCAGGAGGAACACCGGUGGCGAAGGCGGGUCUCUGGGCCGUAACUGACGCUGAGGAGCGAAAGCGUGGGGGAGCGAACAGG
rnacentral:rRNA from 1 species